CCCAGACUCCUACGGGAGGCAGCAGUGAGGAAUAUUGGUCAAUGGGCUUACGCCUGAACCAGCCAAGUCGCGUUAGGGAUGACGGCCCUAUGGGUUGUAAACCUCUUUUGCCGGGGAGCAAAGUGCCGCACGUGUGCGGUUUGGAGAGUACCCGGAGAAAAAGCAUCGGCUAACUCCGUGCCAGCAGCCGCGGUAAUACGGAGGAUGCGCGCGUUAUCCGGAUUUAUUGGGUUUAAAGGGUGCGUAGGCGGACGCUUAAGUCAGCGGUAAAAUUGCGGGGCUCAACCCCGUACUGCCGUUGAAACUGCAUCCCUUGAGUGCGCGAGAAGUAUGCGGAAUGCGUGGUGUAGCGGUGAAAUGCAUAGAUAUCACGCAGAACUCCGAUUGCGAAGGCAGCAUACCGGCGCGCAACUGACG
rnacentral:rRNA from 1 species